CGCCUGUUUAUCAAAAACAUCGCCUCUUGUUCAAUUAUAGGAGGUCCAGCCUGCCCAGUGACUUUGUUCAACGGCCGCGGUAUCCUAACCGUGCGAAGGUAGCGUAAUCACUUGUUCUUUAAAUGAGGACUAGUAUGAAUGGCCCCACGAGGGCUGCACUGUCUCCUUUUUCUAAUCAAUGAAACUAAUCUCCCCGUGAAGAAGCGGGAAUUAUCCUAUAAGACGAGAAGACCCUAUGGAGCUUUAAACAAUUGAAACAUUUGCUUUCCUCCUAACUCCUCCCGAGCUCUUUAUUUUUAUUUAAGCAUUAUUAUUUCUAGUUUUAGGUUGGGGUGACCACGGAGCAAAACUAAACCUCCAUGAAGAAAUGAAUAUUUUUAAGCCACAAACUACUUUUUUAAGCAUCAACAAAUUGACCUUCAUUGACCCAAUAUAUUGAUCAACGAACCAAGUUACCCUAGGGAUAACAGCGCAAUCUACUUCAAGAGCUCAUAUCGACAAGUAGGUUUACGACCUCGAUGUUGGAUCAGGGUAUCCUAGUGGUGCAGCCGCUACUAAUGGUUCGUUUGUUCAACGAUUAAAACCCU
rnacentral:rRNA from 1 species